ensembl:lncRNA
CACCCCCCCCCCUUCUCGGCAGCGGCUUUCCCCUUGCCCACUAAUGCGCUGCUCACACAUGGAGUCGCGGCGUCACCCGGCGGAGCAUGCGCGGGGCAGGGCCCGUCCUGGGCCGCGGGGACGGGCCGGGGCCGGAGCAGCAGCAGGAGCAGUAGGAGCAGUGGUAGCAGUAAAAGCAGUGGUAGCAGUAGAAGCAGUGGCAGCAGGAGCAGCAGCAGCAGCCGCGCGGGGGCCCGGCGCCGCUUCCGGGCAAUGGUGGAGCAAGACCAAAGUUGUGAAAUUGGGUGCUCUGAGUCAGCCCAGAAACGCAGAUGAGAUUGAAGCCUGGCGUUGUGCGAGGAAUGGAGGACACGACCGACAAGCUGGACCAGGGAAAUAUUUUUCAUACAUCUUCUCAAAGUGCUUUUUCUCUUAGCAAGAGAGCCACAGAGAUAUUUCACGCUACAGUGGUAGCCCACAGACACUGCUCAGUUCCUCAAGGGGCCAUGUGCAUGCCAGGGGAUGCGAGCAGGCCGGGAGUUUUGAAACGUGGGCAUUUUUAAUUCACUUUGUAUGAUUUUAACCCAGUUUAUAUGGGCCUCGGCAUUACAAAAGAUUCGAAUCCUCCUCCCACAGCCCUGGGCUCCUACAGGGAAACGUGUGAGGGUUGUCUCCUGUUCCCUUGGGAGUGCUCACAGAGAUGUGGCUGUGACCCGCUGAGUAAAGUCACCACUGUUUUUAAUUCCCUACCUGCCUUUGGGAAACUGCGACAACGCACGAGCCAGUUUCUCCAGGCUCAGCGGGCUCCUUAAAUUCAAGCUGAAGAUAUUAGGGCCACAAGCAGGCAAUCUCUCUCUCUCUGGUCCAAACAGCUGAACUCUAUUGAGACGAGAGACAUUCAGUUAAAGCUUAAUCUAGUAAUGACUUUGUAUUCUUUUUGCUGCAAUAAGGAGGUUAACAUUCUAUGGGGCUGCCUCUCGUGCACAAUCCUUGAAGCACUCAGCCUGUUAUGAGGGAAACCGGAUAAUUAACUUGGGAUGAAAGCACGUUCCCAUUCUUGAAGUAGCUUUCAGAAGUUACUAUGUUCGUGUGCUUUUCUUUUCAAACAAAAGUUGGGGUUUUUUGUAGUCCCCAACUCAUUGCUUAUAGACAAGUUUCUUCCUGCAAGACCCUCUGGAAUUGCUCACGGCAACAGGAAAUUAGGAUGUUUAAAACGAAGCCAACUGGGAGCCACGAAAUAGCCUGUGGCAUUUUGCUUGCUGCAGAGAGCAGCCCCUUGGACAGCGGGACAUAGGGACCACUGGCACACAGACGUAAUUUCAGUUCUGCUCGCGUGGUAACAUCAUCUGUUUUACUCCCUGGGAGAUUUAGCCACUGUUUGAACAGCGUGCGCGCUCAGGUUUGUAUAACACGUGUCAUUAAACUCUUGAAAAAGUCUUCAGAAAAGAAGAAAUCAUCUGUGCCACUCAGGUUGAGAGGAGAAGCUCCCUCUAAAAGCUCCAUCUACAAGAAGCCUGCCUGCUACAAAACCGUGUUUUCUUCCUUAAAACUUUGUGCUUGGGACAGCCACGAGAAACGCUGCAGCACUCUGCAUGAUUUUCUUUGCACUUACUAGUGCUUCGUAUUGCACUAGUUCAAACAAAUAGCACCAAUUUCUAAGCUGUUUAGUCACUACAUUUCAGGGUCCUUCUCAAAUCAGAGCAGAGAGAAAAGCUUUUUCAUGCCUUAAACUUUUUUUCUUGUUUGGGAUAUGCUGCUAAAACGCUCUGAAGUCAGAUUUUGUGAAGUUAGACACUUCUCAGCACUUAAACUCACAAUUCUUUUACCUACAGCAACUGCCAGCGCACGCAGCUCCUAUGCACGCUCCUUCUUCUCUCUCUAGCUUUUCACCACGCUUAUCACAAAGACAGAAAAAAAGUGGCGAAAGGGAUAGAAGAUUAAUAACGGAUUAGAUUUUUUUUCAAAAAGCCACCUAUAGAGGUUCUGUGAAACAUGGCAGAUCGCUGGGGGUGAGGAGAAGGUGGUAGACCACAGACAGGAUAUAACUUUAUUUUGAAUCGAGCUCGUCUCGCGUACAAACUAAAUCCCCCCCCCCCCCCAAGAAGUCGUACAGAGAUGAAACGCUGCCAGAAAAAGAAAGUAAUUGAGUUCCCGAGGCGAGCGCGACGCCGCGGCGAGGAGCACACGGAACCUCCGCGCAUCCCCAAAGCCGGGCAGAAGUCCUCCGCUUUGGCACCGGCCCCACCAACCACCUCCAUCUUAAGUCCUGUCGCGAAUCCAACCCAUCUGGCACCCUCCAGCAAGCAAAUGCUGUGGGUUUUUUUUGUUGUUGUUGUUUGAUUUUUUUUUUGUUGUUUUUUGUUUUUUGUUCCUCCCCGGCAGGUCCCCUCCGGGGGCCACCUCCUCGCCCCGCUCCCCCCUCAGGGGGCACCCAACCUUUUGGGGUUUCCC